GACGAACGGCUGGCGGCGUGCCUAAUACAUGCAAGUCGAGCGGGGAUUAUGCUUGAUCGCUUCGGUGAGACGGCAUAUAUCCUAGCGGCGGACGGGUGAGUAACGCGUGGGUAAUCUACCUCGUAGUUCGGGAUAACAGGCCGAAAGGCUUGCUAAUACCGGAUGAGUUCAUGCUUAUGCAUAUAGGCAUGAAGAAAAGGGCUAGCCCGCUAUGAGAUGAGCCCGCGUCCCAUUAGCUUGUUGGUGGGGUAAUGGCCUACCAAGGCAACGAUGGGUAGCCGGCCUGAGAGGGUGUACGGCCACACUGGGACUGAGACACGGCCCAGACUCCUACGGGGGGCAGCAGUAGGGAAUUUUCGGCAAUGGGCGAAAGCCUGACCGAGCGACGCCGCGUGAGGGACGAAGGCCUUCGGGUUGUAAACCUCUGUCUGGGGGGAUGAGAACGGACGGUACCCCCGGAGGAAGCCCCGGCUAACUACGUG
rnacentral:rRNA from 1 species